UCUGUGUUGCUUUCUUCUUUAAAUGUAAUGGAUGUUAUUGUGUAAAAGUAUGGGAUAAUAUUUGUAUUGUUGCGGUAGGGUUGUUUCUCUUUUUUUUUUCUAACCAAUAGUUUCAAAGAAGAGAAGAGCAUCUUCUUCUAUAGAGAAAUUGAAAUCGUAAGAACCUUUCUAUUCUACUAUUCCAAAAGUAAAGAUGUUCUUGGGAUAAAGUCAGUACAAUGCAUAAUUUCAACAUGUCCUUGUGGGAUGAUGGGAAAGAGCCUCUUUGUGUGCCUGUCUAUGUAGUUUGCUGCUUGACAGAUAUCUCAAGAGUCGCCAUAUGCAGUACGAAGAAUUGGACAACGUACUAUCGGAUCUUCAUCGGUUUUCAGGUGAGAAUUAUUUUUGAUGAGUUUCAGAGUACUUCAAGAAGUUGGAAAACAACCUUUGGUCUAGGAGAAAGUCCUACCAAUUGUGAGUGAAUCCAUUAAAGAAUGAAAUUGGCUGAUGUGAUUGGAAAGAGAAAUGUUUAGAAAUAUGUGGGAUGUGGGAGACCUGUCGUUUGCUUUAUGAUUCACAGGCUGAGGAUUUCUUCAGGGGACAACUGGCUAACUAAAGAGGUCUGUGUUGCUUUCUUCUUUAAAUGUAAUGGAUGUUAUUGUGUAAAAGUAUGGGAUAAUAUUUGUAUUGUUGCGGGAGGGUUGUUUCUCUUUUUUUUUUCUAACCAAUAGUUUCAAAGAAGAGAAGAGCAUCUUCUUCUAUAGAGAAAUUGAAAUGUAAGAACCUUUCUAUUCUACUAUUCCAAAAGUAAAGAUGUUCUUGGGAUAAAGUCAGUACAAUGCAUAAUUUCAACAUGUCCUUGUGGGAUGAUGGGAAAGAGCCUCUUUGUGUGCCUGUCUAUGUAGUUUGCUGCUUGACAGAUAUCUCAAGAGUCGCCUUAUGCAGUACGAAGAAUUGGACAACGUAUUAUUGGAUCUUCAUCGGUUUUCAGGUGAGAAUUGUUUUUGAUGAGUUUCAGAGUCUCUCAAGAAGUUGGAAAACAACCUUUGGUCUAGGAGGAAGUCCUACCAAUUGUGAGUGAAUCCAUUAAAGAAUGAAAUUGGCUGAUGUGAUUGGAAAGCGAAAUGUUUAGAAAUAUGUGGGAUGUGGGAGACCUGUCGUUUGCUUUAUGAUUCACAGGCUGAGGAUUUCUUCAGGGGACAACUGGCUAGCUAAAGAGGUCUGUGUUGCUUUCUUCUUUAAAUGUAAUGGAUUUUAUUGUGUAAAAGUAUGGGAUAAUAUUUGUAUUGUUGCGGGAGGGUUGUUUCUCUUUUUUUUUUCUAACCAAUAGUUUCAAAGAAGAGAGAAGAGCAUCUUCUUCUAUAGAGAAAUUGAAAUGUAAGAACCUUUCUAUUCUACUAUUCCAAAAGUAAAGAUGUUCUUGGGAUAAAGUCAGUACAAUGCAUAAUUUCAACAUGUCCUUGUGGGAUGAUGGGAAAGAGCCUCUUUGUGUGCCUGUCUAUGUAGUUUGCUGCUUGACAGAUAUCUCAAGAGUCGCCUUAUGCAGUACGAAGAAUUGGACAACGUAUUAUUGGAUCUUCAUCGGUUUUCAGGUGAGAAUUGUUUUUGAUGAGUUUCAGAGUACUUCAAGAAGUUGGAAAACAACCUUUGGUCUAGGAGGAAGUCCUACCAAUUGUGAGUGAAUCCAUUAAAGAAUGAAAUUGGCUGAUGUGAUUGGAAAGAGAAAUGUUUAGAAAUAUGUGGGAUGUGGGAGACCUGUCGUUUGCUUUAUGAUUCACAGGCUGAGGAUUUCUUCAGGGGACAACUGGCUAGCUAAAGAGGUCUGUGUUGCUUUCUUCUUUAAAUGUAAAUGUUAUUGUGUAAAAGUAUGGGAUAAUAUUUGUAUUGUUGUUGCGGGAGGGUUGUUUCUCUUUUUUUUUCUAACCAAUAGUUUCAAAGAAGAGAAGAGCAUCUUCUUCUAUAGAGAAAUUGAAAUGUAAGAACCUUUCUAUUCUACUAUUCCAAAAGUAAAGAUGUUCUUGGGAUCAAGUCAGUACAAUGCAUAAUUUCAACAUGUCCUUGUGGGAUGAUGGGAAAGAGCCUCUUUGUGUGCCUGUCUAUGUAGUUUGCUGCUUGACAGAUAUCUCAAGAGUCGCCAUAUGCAGUACGAAGAAUUGGACAACGUAUUAUUGGAUCUUCAUCGGUUUUCAGGUGAGAAUUGUUUUUGAUGAGUUUCAGAGUCUCUCAAGAAGUUGGAAAACAACCUUUGGUCUAGGAGGAAGUCCUACCAAUUGUGAGUGAAUCCAUUAAAGAAUGAAAUUGGCUGAUGUGAUUGGAAAGAGAAAUGUUUAGAAAUAUGUGGGAUGUGGGAGACCUGUCGUUUGCUUUAUGAUUCACAGGCUGAGGAUUUCUUCAGGGGACAACUGGCUAGCUAAAGAGGUCUGUGUUGCUUUCUUCUUUAAAUGUAAUGGAUUUUAUUGUGUAAAAGUAUGGGAUAAUAUUUGUAUUGUUGCGGGAGGGUUGUUUCUCUUUUUUUUUUCUAACCAAUAGUUUCAAAGAAGAGAAGAGCAUCUUCUUCUAUAGAGAAAUUGAAAUGUAAGAACCUUUCUAUUCUACUAUUCCAAAAGUAAAGAUGUUCUUGGGAUCAAGUCAGUACAAUGCAUAAUUUCAACAUGUCCUUGUGGGAUGAUGGGAAAGAGCCUCUUUGUGUGCCUGUCUAUGUAGUUUGCUGCUUGACAGAUAUCUCAAGAGUCGCCAUAUGCAGUACGAAGAAUUGGACAACCUAUUAUUGGAUCUUCAUCGGUUUUCAGGUGAGAAUUGUUUUUGAUGAGUUUCAGAGUACUUCAAGAAGUUGGAAAACAACCUUUGGUCUAGGAGGAAGUCCUACCAAUUGUGAGUGAAUCCAUUAAAGAAUGAAAUUGGCUGAUGUGAUUGGAAAGAGAAAUGUUUAGAAAUAUGUGGGAGACCUGUCGUUUGCUUUAUGAUUCACAGGCUGAGGAUUUCUUCAGGGGACAACUGGCUAGCUAUAGAGGUCUGUGUUGCUUUCUUCUUUAAAUGUAAUGGAUUUUAUUGUGUAAAAGUAUUGGAUAAUAUUUGUAUUGUUGUUGCGGGAGGGUUGUUUUUCUUUUUUUUUCUAACCAAUAGUUUCAAAGAAGAGAAAAGAGCAUCUUCUUCUAUAGAGAAAUUGAAAUGUAAGAACCUUUCUAUUCUACUUUUCCAAAAGUAAAGAUGUUCUUGGGAUAAAGUCAGUACAAUGCAUAAUUUCAACAUGUCUUUGUGGGAUGAUGGGAAAGAGCCUCUUUGUGUGCCUGUCUAUGUAGUUUGCUGGUUGACAGAUAUCUCAAGAGUCGCCAUAUGCAGUACGAAGAAUUGGACAACCUAUUAUUGGAUCUUCAUCGGUUUUCAGGUGAGAAUUGUUUUUGAUGAGUUUCAGAGUCUCUUAAGAAGUUGGAAAACAACCUUUGGUCUAGGAGGAAGUCCUACCAAUUGUGAGUGAAUCCAUUAAAGAAUGAAAUUGGCUAAUGUGAUUGGAAAGAGAAAUGUUUAGAAAUAUGUGGGAUGUGGGAGACCUGUCGUUUGCUUUAUGAUUCACAGGCUGAGGAUUUCUUCAGGGGACAACUGGCUAACUAAAGAGGUCUGUGUUGCUUUCUUCUUUAAAUGUAAUGGAUUUUAUUGGGUUAAAGUAUGGGAUAAUAUUUGUAUUGUUGUUGCGGGUUUUUUCUCUUUUUCAGGAGGAGAUGUGAUUGGAAAGAGAAAUUUCUGUAAAUAUGUGGGAAACCUGUUUUUCCUUUAUGGUUCACAGGCUGAACAUUUCUUCAGGGGAGAUCUGGCUAACUAAAGAGUUCUGUGUUGCCUACAUUUUUUAAAUGUAAUCUUUUUUAGCGUCAACAAGCAUGGAUUGCUAGUGGAUUGUUGUUUUGGGAGACCUCUGUGGACAGGUUGAGGAUUGGGUUUAUUAUUGCAUUGUUGUUUCUCCUGUUUUACAGAUUAGCUUCAAAGAAGAAAGAACACCUUGUACAGAAAGAAGAAUUGGUAAGUGGAAGAUGUUAAAGAAAGAUGGACCAUGAAAACCUUAUUUUUGUCUAUACAUCAAAAUUCUUUCAGGUGUUAAUUCUAACAAUGCUUAAUCACUACUUUUUGGCAAGUUUCAAAACGAGCGCAAUCAAUAAAUUUUAUUGUAUUGUUGUUUUAGUAGAAUUUUUCACCGUGGAGAGAAGACAAUCUACCAACACAGAGCCCAGAACUGGUAAUGGUCUCUCUGUUCCUAUAUUAGAAAUCUUUUACGCAAAAAUUAUUGCAUAUAUUUUAAUGUGUACCAAGUUCUGAUUUCACACUGUAACAUAACUUAUUAUGAUCUAAUAUUCAUGGUCCCACCACUGUCCAGACUUGUUUCACUUAGUUAAAUAGCUAUAAUAUAUAUUAAUUGUUACAAUUAUUAAAUGAGGAUUUUUCUUUCAAAUAUUGGUUGUCAUGCUUCUCUAGGUAUUUGAUGGGGCAAGCUAACUCACUCCUCAUAAUUUUGUUACCUAUGCGUGACAAAAUGCCUUUUGUCACUGGAUUUUUAAAUGACCAACUGCCCUUUGCCCUUGGCUGUUGGAGGAGCCUGAUUGCCAGCCUCCUCCCUCGUGACUGUGGCCCUGGGGUGUAUUGCCAUUUAAAAAGACUAUUUGGGGCUUACUGGCUUCUAAAAGACUGUUUCUGCCCAUUUGAAUCCAUGGGAAUAUGUGUCUCUUCCCCUCCCUCGUUUCCUGUCUAUUGUUCCAGCAGGGCGUUGUCCCAGGCACACUGCCAGACCAGUUGGAACUUGCUGUUGCCCCUCCUCUGUCUCUCAUCAGCUCUUGCCAUGUUUUAAAGGACCACUCUAGGCACCCAGACCACUUCAGCUUAAUGAAGUGGUCUGGGUGCCAGGUCCCUCUAGGAUUAACCCUUUUUUUUAUAAACAUAGCAGUUUCAGAGAAACUGCUAUGUUUAUACUGAGGGUUAAUCCAGCCUCCAGAGCCUCUAGUGGCUGUCUCAUUGACAGCCGCUAGAGACGCUUGCGUGCUUCUCACUGUGAAAAUCACAGUGAGAGCACGCAAGCGUCCAUAGGAAAGGAUUGUAAAUGCUUUCCUAUGCGACCGGCUGAAUGCGCGUGCGCAUUCAGCCGAUGACGUCGCGAGCAAGGAGGAGAGGAGGAGUACAGCUCCCCGCCCGGCGCUGGAGAAAGGUAAGUGUUUAACCCCUUCCUCUCUCCAGAGCCCGGCGGGAGGGGGUCCCUGAGGGUGGGAGCACCCUCAGGGCACUAUAGUGCCAGGAAAACAAGUAUGUUUUCCUGGCACUAUAGUGGUCCUUUAACUCCAUGGCGAUUUGACUGUGUUUGUGGCAUCUGAGCACUGUUCGGAUAUAGUGAGCGCCCAAAUCCAAGCUAUCUGGGGAUAGGUUGAAUGUGGGGGUUCUGUUAAGUAUAAUAGGAAUUAUGUAUUUUUAUGUGUUUUUACUGUUGUUGUGAAUAGAGCUAUUUUCUGUAUGCUGGAGGUUAUUGACUUACCACACCCAAGCCAUUCUUGCAGAUGGUCACAAAGGGACUUUCAACUAACUUUUGACCCACUGGACCAAUUUGUAUGAUUUUGGCGUAUGUUUGUAUUUGGAGUAUGCUGAUUUUGAAAAUGUAUGUGAAUGUGAUGUAUACUUUCAGAGUUAUGAAUAUUGUGUAAAACUGUGUAUUUUCCUGCCUGUGAUAAUUAAGUUAGACCAUUGUGUUCAGUAAUUAUAUCACAGGCAGAGGGGAGGUUUUUGUGUGGGGAUGUCUGAGUGUAUUGUAUGUAUUGAUUGGUUGUUCUGCAAAACACUGUGGGCAGUACUGUGUGUGUAAAAUGUGCAUAAAAGCAGAAUGUUUGAUUAAAAGCUACAGUUCUUCUUCACCCUCACACGUAGUCUUGUUUCGUGAUUGGAGGGCACAACUAAACUCACACUGGGGAUUGCUAUGCUCUGCAUACUCCCCUGAGCUGUAAUCACUUAGCUCUUUUAAGAGCUUGUUCCUGUUACGCUCUCCUGGAGAAGAGGUCUUCACCACAAGGUCCUGGAGGACAAAAGUUGAUCCAGGGUGGACGAGGACGGUGAGACUCCAGUUAAGCUACGGUGGUUGUGGUGUCUGGUGUGGUGCUUGUGGUCCUCGGCGCAAGCUAGGAAGCGUCCAUCAACGGAAGGGCUUAUAUGAUACUUGCCAUUGCAAACCUGGAGGCCACAGUCCCUAGUUGUAAAUUUCAACUAUCCAGGGCAAAAUUUACACUCGCUAAUGGUUAACCCCUUAAGGACCAAACUUCUGGAAUAAAAGGGAAUCAUGACAUGUCCCACAUGUCAUGUGUCCUUAAGGGGUUAAAGGAAAGUGGGAAUAUUGAGCUCUGUGUAGCAUAUAAAUCAGUGAGACACGAGGUCUCUAUAAGGAGGCAAGUAAAGUAACCUUUAAAUUGUAAGCUCACAGUCUAUCUUGACAAGUACUUUGUAGAAAAGAGCUUUAAUGGCUAGAUCUCAAGUCAUGGGCAGGGCCUUCAUUACCGUUUGUAUUGAUUUGUGUUUAUUUUACUGUCCUGUUUCUCAUUUGAACAGCUCUGUGGAAAAUGUUAGUUUUUAAUAAAUGCAUUCAUUAUAUGAUCUAAUUGAUGGUGUCUGGCCUUCCAAAUGAAAAUAAUGAUGACAAUCUUUUAGUAGAAUGAUUUGUUUUAGUUAUGUUAAAAACAUUGUGUGGUUAUUAUGAAAUGGUAACCAGAAUUAGUUCAUGUAGACAAUUAAUUUCCGUGUAUAUGUUCUACUGCCAGGCUGGGAACCUUAUGCAUGAAUAUCUGAAACAGCAGCAUCAAACACAGCCCGAAUCAUGUAGACAGUGGGUGCAAAGUCAAGAUAUCCAUGCGUUAAAGGAGAAGAGACUAAACUUUAUUGCUGGAAUUUGAAACAACAUCAAACACAGCCAGAAUCACAUACACAUAGGGAGCUGAGUAGAGAGAUUUGUGGGUUCAUGGAGCAGAGGUUUAACAUUACUGCUCAUUGAAGAAACAAGAUUAUGGCUCAAGAUUAUGCAAAAAAGACUUUUGGUCACAUUUUUCAUCAAAGUCAUCGUUUGGGAUUUACUUUCUACUUCUAAAUGUCUUUUGAGAACAUUUAUGGAACUUUAUUUUUCUGAAUUAAGAAAUUAAACUGUCAUGUUAUCUAAUGUUAUAGUCAUUUGCAAUUUAAUUCUAAGGCUGGAAAUGAUUGGGUAUCACUAAGAAAUAAUUACAGUUUUAAAAAGAAAAGACAAUUCAAAUGAGAACAAAAUACAUUAAAAUGUUAUCAAUGAAAUCUAAUGUUUUAGAAUUUUUUUUAAUGAACAUUUUAUGUAUAUGAAAACUUUGACUGCAGUUUGACAGACAAAUAAUCAGAUAUUCAGGUCCAUUUUAUGGAAAAAGAGAAAGAAAAC
rnacentral:lncRNA from 1 species